rnacentral:lncRNA from 1 species
CAGUAUCCUUCAAUAAAUUCCGAGGGGGCUGCUUGGAAAAUGAAGACAUCUGUCGGAUCCCAAGUAAACCCUUUGAAAAUAUUUCGCGCAAACUUGAUGCCGUGCAGACGCAAACUUGACGUGUAGACCGAAAAGGUAAUCAUAACAACUCAGAACAGCAGAUGCUUAAUGAUUUUUGUUUCUGUUUUGACUUGGCGUCUCAUUCCUAGACUGUUUGUGAAUGGGCUUUUUACAUUCUUCAAUGGCAUUCAAUGAUUCAAGGACGAAUUGAACAAGAAACUGGAAGAAGAAAGCAAGAAAACAAUUCAUUCAAUAUCCGAAACGCAAGAAUUGAUCCAGCAACUGACGGCCUACACAUGUCAACAAAUGUUGGAGGAGACAACGACCAGAAUGGAGGAUCUUUGUAAUCAGUUGUCGAUUUAGAAUGAACAUAAUAGAGAUCUUGACAGGAAGACUCACAGAGCAGAAUACACAUUGGCUGGCCAAGAGACCUCUCUGCGAUUAAUAUCUGAUUUGAAAAAACAAAUGGCUGAUCUCAAGUUUCAGUUGUCUGAAAAGGCUAUUGAACUCCAGUGCAAGGAAAAGAAGAUUGAGGAAACUGAGAAUGCCUUGAAAGACUUGUUGCUACAUUCUCAUAGCAAUGAACAGUUGGCCAUUGUCGAAGAAAGUAAUCGCGAACUUUAGGACAAAUUUGAUGAAAAGGCCCAGGAACUUGAAGCUGCUCUUGUUUGUCGAGAGAAUUCGCAGGGAUUAAAAGCCGAUCUCGAUAAGGAAGUUACUGAUCUCAAAUGUCAGCUUAUGUCAAAGUCAAUAGAACUCCAGUAGAGCGGAUGGAAGAAAGGGAGAAAGCCAUAGACGAAUUAACACUAAAGUCUCUUAUAACACUGAACGGAAACUUGCCGAUCAGAAGUGGACAUGUCGAGACAAAAAGAAAAGUUGGAGUUAGACGCUUUCACAGAAAACGAAGCCGGAAGUGAUUCAGAUUAGCCCCUUUAAGUCCCAGUCAUCGCCCCCUUUCUUACGCAAAUUAUUUAUGUUAUGCUAAUUUUCUUUAUGUCCCCUCAAACAAGUGUAGUAAAUUGAUAGUUAUGAAAUAUAAUAAUGGCGUAUUUAUUUAAAAA